UACGAAGGGGGCUAGCGUUGCUCGGAAUUACUGGGCGUAAAGGGCGCGUAGGCGGCCACUUUAGUCAGGCGUGAAAUUCCUGGGCUCAACCUGGGGGCUGCGUUUGAUACGUAUGGACUUGAGUUCGGAAGAGGGUCGUGGAAUUCCCAGUGUAGAGGUAAAAUUCGUAGAUAUUGGGAAGAACACCGGUGGCGAAGGCGGCGACCUGGUCCGAUACUGACGCUGAGGCGCGAAAGCGUGGGGAGCAAACAGG
rnacentral:rRNA from 1 species